UUAUGAUCUCUGCAGCCGUGCCUCUGUUGACAGAUCCGUCCGGAUUCUCUGCCUGGAAACAUCAGAAACUAAUCGGAACCGCCGUCAGACGCAGACGGACGGAGCUCCAGAGAUGUCGCUGUUGCUGUGGUGAAGCCCCUGGCUGCAGGCCUUGGAAACCCCGGCACCCACAGCCUUCUGCGUACUGACCGACAGGUCGGAGCUGCUGGGCUGAAAACUGAUAAUGGGAGGAGAUCAGAGUCAUCAGAAGGAGGCUGAGGAGAGAAGAGGAGAAGCUGAAGAACAUCAAGAACCAGACCAAACAAAGGCUCCAGCUGCUGAAGAGACUCCGGUUGAGUUGCCCCAGUGCAGAAUGGGAAGCAGAAAGGUGGACGACAUGUGUUUCAUGAUCUCAUGCACCAACUGGUAUUGAUCCACUGGACACUGGGACUGCUGGGAGCUGGUGGAUGCCGUGUUCAUGCUUUUCAUGCAUCAAAUUGGCUGCAUUGCUCCUCCUCUGUUGUAGUUUUAACUGAUUAUUUCUCAUCAAAAUCAGAUAAAUGUUACAGAAAUCUAACAACAGGAAGUAAAUCUGUCAUUUCUCAGUAUCAUUCUGUAUCAAAAAGCCAAGAAGCUGCUGUAGGCUGAAGACAGGGACUGAACAUGAGUCCAACCUGUCAGAAAAAUGUUUGCUGUUGGUUUGCAGUGGAGAGCGGCUGCUUGGAAGUAGAUUUAUGGACUUUUCUCCUCCUAAAAACCCUCAUUAUCAAAGUGGAACUAAAAUCCAUCAUAGAUUGAUUUCUCCACCUUCGCACUUCACUGCACACCUCUUCUCCUGCAAACUCAGGCGGAAAGAAGAAUGAUACAUUUGCAACAAAGCUCUGAUGACUGAAGGUUUUGAGACUUCUGACAUGAAACAUUCCUGGUUUGGCAACAUCGUUUUUUUUUUCCUCUGAAGGCUUCAGUUUCUCUACAGCUUCAACAGAAAUGAUGAACUGAUCAAUGGAAGGUGAUUGAACUGUAUGAGCAGAUUUAUGAGAGUAAUUGUUGCAGAAUAAGAUGAAAACUAAAAGAUAAUAAAUCAUUUCUGAGUUUUUGGGGAUCAGCUCAGAUUUUUGUCUGUCAUCUACUGUUGGAGAAUGUUUGAAAAUAAGCAGCAGCAUGGAGACCAAGGAGCCCAGCAGACAGAGGAAGUUCUGGUUCAGUAUAAAGCAGAGUUUGAUUCUAGAACAAUAUUGCAAUAUUUUUCAGACUCUCUUUAAUGCAUCCUUCUAACAUAGAGAAAGGAUGGACACCCACCUUAUCUGACAGCAGAACGUUAAACAGGGAAACAAUUGGAGAAGCUCCAGAGAAUAUGUAGACAGGAAAAAUAUGAGUCAGUAUUUUCUCUAGUCCUGUAGGUGACAUAGCAAAUGAGGAAUAAGGUGUCUGAUCAUCGGAGACCAGUACAGAACCUUUGGGUCUCAUGGAGUUAACUCUGCAGAUCGCUCGGAACACGCCAUCCCUAUGGUGAAGCACGGUAGUGGCAGCAUCAUGCCAAGGGAUGCUUUUCUUAAUUAGAGGCUGAGGAGCUUGAGUUAACAGCAGGACAGUCUGGGAGGAAAAGCUUUCAG